rnacentral:piRNA from 1 species
UCUCAGAGCCAGGUGCAGGGACUGCUU